rnacentral:rRNA from 1 species
AUCACUCCUACGGGAGGCAGCAGUGGGGAAUAUUGCACAAUGGGGGAAACCCUGAUGCAGCCAUGCCGCGUGUGUGAAGAAGGCCUUCGGGUUGUAAAGCACUUUCAGUAGGGAGGAAGGUAGUGUUAGUUAACACCUGCAUUAUUUGACGUUACCUACAGAAGAAGCACCGGCUAACUCCGUGCCAGCAGCCGCGGUAAUACGGAGGGUGCGAGCGUUAAUCGGAAUUACUGGGCGUAAAGCGCAUGCAGGCGGCCUGUUAAGUCAGAUGUGAAAGCCCGGGGCUUAACCUCGGAAUUGCAUUUGAAACUGGCAGGCUAGAGUCUUGUAGAGGGGGUAGAAUUUCAGGUGUAGCGGUGAAAAUGCGUAGAGAUCUGAAGGAAUACCAGUGGCGAAGGCGGCCCCCUGGACAAAGACUGACGCUCAGAUGCGAAAGCGUGGGGAGCAAACAGGAUUAGAUACCCUGGUAG